GUGCCAGCAGCCGCGGUAAUACGAGGGGUGCUAGCGUUGUCCGGAAUCACUGGGCGUAAAGGGCGCGUAGGCGUCUUGGCAAGCCUUGAUUGAAAUCCCCCGGCUCAACCGGGGAACUGGUCAGGAAACUGCCAAGAUAGAGUUUGGGAGAGGAGAGUGAAAUUCCUGGUGUAGCGGUGAUAUGCGUAGAUAUCAGGAGGAACACCGAAGGCGAAGGCAGCUCUCUGGGCCAAUACUGACGCUAAGGCGCAAAGCGUGGGGGAGCAAACAGGAUUAGAUACCCUGGUAGUCCACGCCGUAAACGAUGAGCACUUGGUGUCGGGGGAUUCGACCCCCUCGGUGCCGUAGCUAACGUGUUAAGUGCUCCGCCUGGGGACUACGACCGCAAGGUUGAAACUCAAAGGAAUUGACGGGGGCCCGCACAAGCGG
rnacentral:rRNA from 1 species